rnacentral:rRNA from 1 species
UGGCGGACGGGUGAGUAACGCGUGGGUAACCUGCCUCACACAGGGGGAUAACAGUUGGAAACGACCGCUAAUACCGCAUAAGCCAACAGGGGCGCAUGCUCUGGUUGGAAAAGAUUAAUCGGUGUGAGAUGGACCCGCGUCUGAUUAGCCAGUUGGCAGGGUAACGGCCUACCAAAGCGACGAUCAGUAGCCGGCCUGAGAGGGUGAACGGCCACAUUGGGACUGAGACACGGCCCAAACUCCUACGGGAGGCAGCAG